rnacentral:rRNA from 1 species
AUUGAACGCUGGCGGCAGGCCUAACACAUGCAAGUCGAGCGGAGAGGCGGACGGGGGAGUGAUGCCUGGGAAUCUGCCUGGUAGUGGGGGAUAACGUCCGGAAACGGGCGCUAAUACCGCAUACACUCAGAUGAGCCUCAGUCGGAUUAGCUAGUUGGUGGGGUAACGGCAUACAAAGGCGACGAUCCGUAACUGGUCUGAGAGGAUGAUCAGUCACACGGGAACUGAGCCACGGUCCAGACUCCUACUGGAGGCAGCAGUGGGGAAUAUUGGACAAUGGGCGAAAGCCGGAUCCAGCCAUGCCGCGUGUGUGAAGAAGGUCUUCGGAUUGUAAAGCACUUUAAGUUGGGAGGCGUUACCAACAGAAUAAGCACCGGCUAACUUCGUGCCAGCAGCCGCGGUAAUAC